rnacentral:lncRNA from 1 species
GGGCACACAUAGAGAUGAGAUGUAAGAGACAAGGUUUUAUUCCUGGUUUCUUGUAUUUGCUUAGGACCUACUUCAGGCUCUUAGACUCUCUCAGUUGAAUUGCUCAUACAUACAGCCCCUCUUUCAUGUAUAUAUUUCUACAUGCACGGAUCUUAAUCUCAAAUAUCCCCGAGUCAGGAGAAACUGACAUUUGUCAUUUCCCCUCAGGGCUAGUUUUCUCGGAAGGGUCAAAUUUGAAGCUGGAUGAUCAGGAGGGAGAAAAGAUAUCCCUGGUUUCUGAGAGGGACCGGGGUGGAAGGUGUGAGUCAAGACCAGAGAAGAUACUAAGGAAAACUCACCAUCGUGCCAGGAAAAAGGCAUACCUGCCCCAUAAAAAGAAGAGAACAUUUCUCAAAAUGUUGUAUGAAACAAUGGAAGAAGUGAAGAGCUG